CUCAUUAUUCCACACACUCAUCAUUCCACUAAACACUCUUUACACUUUCUUUUGCCAGCCAUCUUCUACACCUUUAACAUCUCAACAUGCAAUUAGCUUUUAUUUAAUCAAAAUCUUAUCAUCAAUCCUCUGCCAUUUCAAUUAGACAAAAGCCAAGUUUUAAAAGCUAAGUUUCCUUCUAUUAGUUCAUCCGCUCUUUCCUUCUCUUUUCAACACACCCAACAAAGUUUAAAGUGCAGAGUAAUCAAGCAGAUUCAGAUCCAAAUUCAUUGUUAAAUUGUUGAUUCGCAGAUCAAACUUUGUGAGUUCAGAAAAUUAUCAAGGUCCGGGCGACAGAAAGUGAAGCAGAAGAAGAAACGAUUCCACGCCAGCUUUAAGAACAAUUGAGGUUGAGCAGGCGAUGGAAUGGAUCGGUGUUGAGCGGAUUUCCCUUUUGAUGUUUAUGUAAUGAAACCUUGAGUAUGCAUCUCCAUAUGCAUAACUCACACGUUUUUCCGCUGCAAACACUCUGAAUUUAUUAUCGUAUUGUGGAACUUAUUACUCCUUCAUUUUGUUUAACUUUCAUUUGGGGUUUAGUCGUUAUGGCUGGCUCAUUUGUUAAUUACCUAAGUGGUUAUAUAUAUAUAUACCACUAGUUUGUUGUUAUUAAUGUUGGUUAUUUGGUAAAUCCCUUUUAAAUUU